CAGGAUGUUUGUCUGAAAUGUACGUGUCACUUUCGGAUAUUGGUCAUCAUAAAUACGAUUUUACUUCUAUGACUUCUUGUCGACACACACACAAUUACAAAGAUGGCAGAGCCGAGCAAGCACGACAUUUGUGCCAUUUUCAAGCGACUUCGCUCCAUUCCCACAAAUAAGGUUUGUUUUGACUGCUCGUCGAAAAAUCCCAGUUGGGCCAGCAUCACCUAUGGUGUGUUCCUGUGCAUAGACUGUUCUGGAGCACACAGGUCUCUCGGGGUGCACCUGUCCUUCAUUCGGUCCACUGAGCUGGAUUUUAAUUGGUCGUGGUACCAGCUAAGAUGUAUUCAAGUGGGAGGCAACGCCAGCGCGACGGCGUUCUUCAGCCAGCACGGCUGCACGGCCAGCGCCGCCAACACAAAAUACAACAGCAGAGCCGCUCAACUGUACAGAGAGAAGAUCAAGACUUUGGCCACGCAGGCCAUCAAAUGCCACGGCACAGAGCUGUGGUUGGACAGUCAGGGCGGCCCACUGUGCACGUCACCGGAGGACAAGCACGUCGAUUUCUUCAGUCUUCACUCACAAGAGGUGCCCGAAAAUUUUGGCCAAAUGAGCCUCAGUUCUGCUGCCCUGGUUAUGGGGGGAAACGAGGAGGGCAAAAAUGGCAACCUAGAGGAUGGGCCGAGCGUGGACAUGCUGAGUGCUUCCCCUAAAUCAGGUCCAGAACCUUCAUCUCUUCUCAAAAAGAAGCCAACCAGCAGCAAGAAAACGUUGUCGGCCAAGAAAGGAGGUCUGGGCGCUCAGAAAGUGAGCAGUAAGAGCUUCACGGAGCUGGAGAAGAAGGCCCAAGCUGCCGACAAGCUGCGAGAGAAAGAGGAAAACGCCGCCGGCGACAAGAAGAGCAACACUCCCCUUGAGGAGGCCAUUGCUCCCUCCAUGCGUCUGGCCUACAAGGACCUGGAAGAGCAGAGGUGGAAAAACGAGCAGAAGCUGAAGAAUCUGGAGUGGAAGAAGCGGGAGCAAGCAGAGAGACUGGGAAUGGGGCUCGGCGUGAGGAGCGGCGUCUCUCACUCUGUCUUGUCCGACAUGCACAUCAUCCAGCAGGAGCGCCCCCUGGUGGCCAGGACCACCAAAGCAGCACGCUUCACUGAGGAAGAGGAGGAAGAGGAGGAGGAGGGAACCUUCAGCUCCCGGGUCAUAUCGCGCUACGACAGAAGCGAGUCCACGGACCUUGUCCCCUCCAGAUGGAACAAGAAAGCCGAGCCCGACUUCUUCCUCACCUCCUCCAUCACCUCGCUGGACGAGCGGCCCGCCACCCGCAGGAAAGCCGAGCCGGUGCCGGUGGUAGACACGGGAGAAGCGCGGAGGAAGUUUGGUGAGAGCGUGAAAGCCAUCUCCUCGGACAUGUACUUUGGAAAGCAGGACAACACCGAGUACUCACCGUGAAGUGAAGAGCCCUGCCUACACGCACUCCCCGUAGUAUUCUUCUAGAUUUCUUCUUUUCUCUGCUUUCAAUUGGAAUUACAAUCACAACAAUACGUCUGUGUAGGCUCUCAGUCGUACAGGAGUUGUCCAUCGAGGGAAAGGCUUCUUGAGACGUCAUCUGUACUUCUGUGAAGAAGGUGUCGGACGUUUCGCUCCUCAUCCGAAGAGCUUCGUCAGCGAACUAAUAAGUGCUGGUAGCCUAGGCCUUAAAUACAGUAAGAGUGAGCGGAAUUGGUGUGCCAACACCCUCCUCCUAUUGGUUCCUUACACUAAGCCUGGGCGGAGUAGUGGUCUAAUCCUCUCCUGCCAUUAACACCUCCGAUCAAAGGGAAGUGUAGCUCCCUGUAGUUGGGUAUGAACAACUCUGAUACUGGCUCGUUAGCAUCUAUUGUUCUGGCUCGGCCCUGGCUCCACCUCAUUUGCAAGACUAAGAGCUGUGGGUUUUGGUCUCAGUAACCUGCUGAACACAGGGUCCAAAUUAAACCUCAAACCACCAUUCCGAUUCAAUGAUGGGUUCUGUUGUUUGACAAAAAUAGCUUCCUUUACUCCUUUCAAACCAUCUGUUUUCUUUGGCCAAAAUCACAACAAUAAUAAUAAUAACAGUAAGAAUUAGAGAUUGGACAAGAAAUCAGCUAUGGAUGUCUCACUCUUUCCAUGGAGUUUUUGCAACUUUAUUGCUGUCAAUCAAGUCGAUGACCAAAAAAAAUUUCAUGACAAAAACAAAAAGCGAUCCGUCUGUAGAUGUUUUAUUGUUCCAUUUUGUCACUGUUUUUUUUUUUUUUAACAAGAAAGAAAGGAAGUUUGAUUAAGAAAACGGGGACAAAAUGUAACCACAAAAUAUCUUUGGAUGCCUCACUUGUGGAUUUUAUUCCAUUUUUUUUUUUCUUUAAAAUUUUUUGUAAGUUGGUUGCUGUCAUCAAAAUAAAUUAAAGUAAAUAAUACACAUUGACCAUGACGAUAAAGUUUAUCAGAUUUUCCACCAAAAAACAAAGAGUGAGAUAUCCAUAGACGUUUUAUUGUUAUUUUUUUGUUUUUUUAAACAAGCACAAUUGGUUAAGACAACAGGGACACAAAGUACCAAGAAAACAUCUAUGGAUGUCUCACUCGUUUCUAUUUUUGCACUUUCAUGUAUUUUUGACUUUGUUGGCGUCACCAACAUGAAAUGGAAUCAUGCAUGUUGACCAUGGACAUGGAGUUGAUGUGUAAAAGCAGCUCCCAUUGUGCCUUUUCCUAUAAUGACUUUUUUCAGGCUUCUGAUUGGCUAAGAUGGCCUCACCGUUGGUUGCUAUAGCUUUAAGGCCCUGGAGUAGUAGUUGUUGUUGUGUAUUAUCGUUAGCUUUAGUAGUUGAUUGGAGGUUUUGCUCAACCUGGAUUGACUUCCUAUUGUCAGUACGAAGCCAAGACACGCCUGGAGAGAUUCGCUGGGAGUUCUGCCAUCAGCUCGGCCGACCUUUUUGACGAGCCAAAGAAACAGAGUGCGAGCUCGUACCGCCUGACUGACGUGCUGCCCAGCGCCCCCGACAUCACGCAGCUGAAAAUGGGAGU